UUCUUCUUCAUUCCCUCCUCACUCUUUUUCCUUCUUCACUCUGUAACUUAAUCCCUCGUCUGAGUCGAUCCUACAAGAACUGAACUUAUUAGCCUUCAUUUUAUCCCUCGUCUGACCGAUCCUCCGGGGAGGGUUUUGUCCUGAUUGAUGGAAUUCACAACAAUGAGUUCAUCAAAAGAAUACCUCGAAUCAUCAAACGACCGUCUUCCGAACCCGUAAUUAGCAAUUUUUGAUUGGGCUUCUCUUUAUUGUGUUCCUAAGGACUUCUCGACUGGUAAUCUCGCCAACCCACAUCCAAUUCUACUCUUUUUAAGAUUUUGUUUCUGCUUCCAUUUUUGAAAUUUCUUGCUGGAAACUGAAGCGGCUGACCAGAAACUCCCAACAAUCUCUUUGAAAUCUCGGCCGAAAGUUUUCUUCUUUCGUUAAUCAAGAUCUAUAUUGUCCUUCAUGGGCUUUAGCUCCUCUUCUUGACACAGUUCCUUUUCGUAUUCUUCCACAAAAGCUCGCCGAUUGCGAUCAUGAGGAUUUGUUUGGGAAAUGAAAGGAGGAGAGUGGAACAAGGUGAUGAAGAAGGGACUGCAGAGCAAAUACUUGAAGGUGAAGGACUUGGGGGAAGAUAAUGAGGAAAAACGAAGAAGAAGAAGUGGACAACGAUGAUGAGGAAAAAGGAGAGGAACAAGAGGAAGAUAAUGAAGAUGAAGAAGAACACAUGAUUUUUGUUGGGCAAUGUAUCCAUGUAGACGUUGUAGGAGCAGUCAUAGGAAUUUCGGUUGUUGCAUAAAAUUUCUUUGAAAUUGCUUAUUUAUUUUGUCGAAUACAUGAGAAAUGGAGCUCCAUAUUUUAAAUACCAA